GAUGAAGAACGUAGCGAAAUGCGAUACUUGGUGUGAAUUGCAGAAUCCCGUGAACCAUCGAGUCUUUGAACGCAAGUUGCGCCCGAAGCCAUUAGGCCGAGGGCACGCCUGCCUGGGCGUCACACGUCGUUGCCCCCCCAUCUACUCCUUCGGGAUUGCGGGGGGCGGAUGAUGGCCUCCCGUGCGCCUCGCCGCGCGGUUGGCAUAAAUGCCAAGUCCUCGGCGACGCACGCCACGACAAUCGGUGGUUGCGAAACCUCGGUUGCCCGUCGUGUGCGGUCGUCGCGCAUCGAGGGCUCGAAAAAAUUGCCGGGUUCCGGCUCGGCUUUCAACGCGACCCCAGGUCAGGCGAGGUUACCCGCUGAAUUUAAGCAUAUCAAUAAGCGGAGGA
rnacentral:misc_RNA from 1 species